rnacentral:tRNA from 1 species
AUUCCGUUAGAAUAUAAGUUCAUCUAAUUUCCACUUAGAAGGUUCCGAUUCUGGAACGGAAGG